UACAGAGGUCUCAAGCGUUGUUCGGAGUUACUGGGCGUAAAGGGUGCGUAGGUGGCCGCGCAAGUCAGAUGUGAAAUCCGGGGGCCCAACCCCGAACUGCAUCCGAAACUGGCGUGGCUUGAGUGCUAUAGAGGGACUUGGAAUUUUCGGUGUAGCAGUGAAAUGCGUAGAUAUCGAAAAGAAGGCCAGUGGCGAAGGCUGGGUCCUGGGUAGCAACUGACACUGAGGCACGAAGGCCAAGGGGAGCAAACGGG
rnacentral:rRNA from 1 species